AGGAAAAGAAACUAACCAGGAUUCCCCUAGUAGCGGCGAGCGAAGCGGGAAGAGCCCAAUUUGAAAAGCCGGAUUUCUGGCGAUGUAAUGGUUGUCCUUGAGAUGUUAGUUUGGGAAAGUGUGCAUGAAAAUGCCCGCCGUGGAGGGUUAAAGCCCCGUCCAUCCCGGACACGACAUUCUCGUACACGGACGAUUCAAAAGAGUCGGGUAGCUUGAGAAUGCUGCCCUAAUAUAGGUGAUAAAUCUCAUCUAAGGCUAAAUACUGGUGGGAAACCGAUAGCGAACAAGUACCGUGAGGGAAAGUUGACAAGCACUUUGAAAAGAGAGUGAAAAGAACCUGAAACCGCCACGGGGGAAGCGAAUUGCGUCUAAUGAAACUGGUCUGUUCUGUUCAGCUAAUGCAGUGAUGCGUUGGUGCAUUCAGGAAUUUUUGGCCGACCCAUUGUGUGUUUCUGGUGGCCGAUUUUUUUGGGCUGCUGGGGGCAGAAGGAUCCCGUCAUUUGUACGGUUUUCGAGGACGAUGGGGGUAGCUGACGCGACUCGACCCGUCUUGAAACACGGACCAAGGAGUCUAGCAUGCCUGCGAGUCGUAGGGUUUUGAAACCUGAGGGCGCAGUGAAAGCGAACCUGUUUAAUUACUUAAAACGGAUCAGUUUGAGGGGGCUAACGAUCGUUGAUUGUAGGUCUCACCUAGAGCAGGUAUGCUAGUACCCGAAAGAUGGUGAACUAUACCGGAGUAGGGUGAAGCCAGAGGAAACUCUGGUGGAAGCUCGUAGCGGUGCUGACGUGCAAAUCGCUCGUCUAACUUGGGUAUAGGGGCGAAAGACUAAUCGAACCAUCUAGUUGCUGGUUUCCUCCGAAGUUUCUCUCAGGAUAGCAGGCCGAAGUGGUGUUGUUGUGUGCGGUAAAGCGAAUGAUUAGCGUAUUUGGGGGCUUUUAGCCUUUGGACGAUUCUCAAACUUUAAAUGCGCACGGAUGUUGCUGCUUGGUUGAGCGGCAUCGUCAAAAACUUUGGCUUUGUGGGCCAUUUUUGGUAAGCAGAACUGGCGAUACGGGAUGAACCGUUAGCGUGGUUAAGGCGCCUAAUUGUCCGCUUAUAGAUUCCAGAAAAGGUGUUGAUUCAUUAAGACAGCAGGACGGUGGCCAUGGAAGUCGGAAUCCGCUAAGGAGUGUGUAACAACUCACCUGCCGAAUGAAUUAGCCCUGAAAAUGGAUGGCGCUGAAGCGGGCAGCCGAUACCACGCCGUCUGAACGAGAAAAUGGGUGUCAGAUGAGUAGGAGGAACGUGGCGGUUGUAUAGAAGCGUGCGUGCAAACGUGCGUGGAACGGCCGCUAAUGCAGAUCUUGGUGUUAGUAGCAAAUAUUCAAAUGAGAACCUUGAAGGGCGAAGCGGGGAAGGGUUCCACGCGAACAUUGAUUGAGCGUGGGUGAGUCGUUCCUAAGUCGAGUGGCAAUAGCUAAUUAUUGACGAAAGGGAAGCAGAUUGAUAUUUUUGCACACGGAUGUGGACGCGGUGACGCAAUUAUCUGGGGCGAUGACGCUGGCUGUGGCACUGGGCAGAGUUUUCUUUUCUGUUUAACCGAUCCGCUCGCGCUGUGUGGAAUCCGCUUGUCGGGAGAAGCACGCGUGUUUGGGCAUAGCGCCGGGGUUUUUCCGGCGUCCAGAUCGUCACGGUUGGACCUUGAAAAAUCGCUUGCUGGCAGGUUGAGGUUUUCUGGGGACAUUUUUUUUGUUCUUGGAUUACUAAUUGAUCUGUGAAAUAAAUCCACGCCGUAACGUACCGAUAACCGCAUCAGGUCCCCAAGGUGAACAGCCUCUGCUCGAUAUGAACAAUGCAGGUAAGGGAAGUCGGCAAAUUAGACCCGUAACUUUGGGAAAAGGGUUGGCUCUAGUGCUGCGUGGGAUUGGUUGCUAUAGUGUGGGGGCGCCUGUUAUGAUUUGAAUGAUUAGCUGCGGCUCUCCUUGUGGGGGUUGCGGUAGAUCUUCUAGUCUGUGGGUGUUUCUGUGCUUAGUAGCGCCCACGGUGUGCAGCAAACUAGAACUGCAACGGUCAAAGGGAAUCCGACUGUUUAAUUAAAACAAAGCAUUGCGAGGGCCGUGGCCGGUGUUGACGCAAUGUGAUUUCUGCUCAGUGCUCUGAAUGUCAAAGUGAAGAGAUUCAAUUAAGCGCGGGUAAACAGCGGGAGUAACUAUGACUCUCUUAAGGUAGCCAAAUGCCUCGUCAUCUAAUUAGUGACGCGCAUGAAUGGAUUAACGAGAUUCCUACUGUCCCUAUCUGCUUCUAGCGAAAACACAGCCGAGGGAACGGGCUCGGCGGAAAUGGCGGGGAAAGAAGACCCUGUUGAGCUUGACUCUAUUCUAGGACUGUGAAACGAGUUAGGAGGUGUAGAAUAAGUGGGAGUAUGGCAGUAAUGUUGUACGUCAGUGAAAUACCACUACUCUUAAUCUCGUUUUACUUACCAGGUUGGUGUGGGUGAGUCUGAAUUUUUUUUUGGACUCGUUUUUGUUGAACCAACUAUCUCUGUAUAUUUGAGGUAGGACCACCGUCUGGAACACUUUUAGGAGGGGAGUUUGGCUGGGGCGGCACAUCUUCUACAAGACAACGAAGGUGUCCAAAGAUAAGCUCAGUGAGAACAGAAAUCUCACGUAGCGCAAAAGGGUAAAAGCUUGUUUGAUUUUGAUUUCCAGUGCGAGUCGAAAACGCGAAAGCGUGGCCUAUCGAUCCUUUUGAGUUUCGAGAUUUGAAGCAAGAGGUGUCAGAAAAGUUACCACAGGGAUAACUGGCUUGUGGCGGCCAAGCGUUCAUAGCGACGUCGC
rnacentral:rRNA from 1 species